rnacentral:rRNA from 1 species
GAUGAACGCUGGCUACAGGCUUAACACAUGCAAGUCGAGGGGAAACGACGGGGAAGCUUGCUUCCCCGGGCGUCGACCGGCGCACGGGUGAGUAACGCGUAUCCAACCUGCCUCUGACUGAGGGAUAACCCGUCGAAAGUCGGCCUAAUACCUCAUGGCAUCGUCUGCGGGCAUCCAACGACGAUUAAAGAUUUCAUCGGUCAGAGAUGGGGAUGCGUCUGAUUAGCUUGCUGGCGGGGUAACGGCCCACCAAGGCGACGAUCAGUAGGGGUUCUGAGAGGAAGGUCCCCCAGAUUGGAGCUGAGACACGGACCAAACUACUACGGGAGGCAGCAGUGAGGAAUAUUAGUCAAUGGGCGAGAGCCUGAACCAGCCAAGUAGCGUGCAGGAUGACGGCCCUAUGGGUUGUAAACUGCUUUUAUGCGGGGAUAAAGUGAGGGACGUGUCCUUCAUUGCAGGUACCGCAUGAAUAAGCACCGGCUAAUUCCGUG